CUGAAUCAGUUGUGGGG
rnacentral:misc_RNA from 1 species